GGGCCGCGGAGCUCGGUGUGGGCUCCGGCGCAGGCCCGGGUCGGGCGCUCGGCAGCCGCCGUGUGUUCAGACGCCGCUCGGUCGCAGCGACAUCCGCAGCCGCCGCUGCUCUUCCUCCUCCCCGCCCCUCCCCCCACGUCCCUCGGCCGGCGCCGCGCGGGGCACGCCGGGUAACUCAGCUGGCGGCGUCGCCUAGUCAUGCCCGGCCGGCCCUGCUUCCAGCUCCGGCUGCUUUUCUCUCCCUCUCCCGCCCCAUUGCUCAGACGGAUUUAAAAUGCUUGAUCUUACUGCCCCUUGCGCCGGAGUUGGAAGGCAAACUAAUGGAAGAAUGAUCCUCUUCAUAACGAAAGGGAAAAUGGAGUAGAAGCCACCCUGCGCAAUCCCGCGGAGUCAUUGCUCCACGGCCGAGGUGUCCCGCCCUCGGGUCUGCCGGGUUUGGUCUGGCGAUCAGGCCACCUCUGUUGACAGUGGCCUCUCUUGACGCUCUGACAGCCCUGCGCGAGCGCCCCAAAUUCUCAGUGAACACUAUCCCUCAAAAGAUACGGGACAGAAUCAGGAUGGUGCCCCCGGACUGCCACCCACCUGGGGCAGUUUAAUGUAGCUGCGAUGUUCAAUUUAUAGUCUAUCAAAUUAAAUAAAGUUACUGGUGCAGUUAAGAC